CCUACGGGAGGCAGCAGUGGGGAAUAUUGCGCAAUGGGCGAAAGCCUGACGCAGCGACGCCGCGUGAGGGAUGAAGGUCUUCGGAUCGUAAACCUCUGUCAGCAGGGAAGAACGGUCAAUGUGCUAAUCAGCAGUGAAUUGACGGUACCUGCAAAGGAAGCACCGGCUAACUCCGUGCUAGCAGCCGCGGUAAUACGGAGGGUGCGAGCGUUAAUGGGAAUUACUGGGCGUAAAGCGCUCGUAGGCGGUAUGUCAAGUCAAGGGUGAAAUCCCCGCGCUCAACGUGGGAACUGCCUUUGAAACUGGCAAACUGGAGUGUGUGAGAGGAUAGUGGAAUUCCAGGUGUAGGGGUGAAAUGCGUAGAUAUUUGGAGGAACAUCAGUGGCGAAGGCGACUAUCUGGCACAUAACUGACGCUGAGGAGCGAAAGCGUGGGUAGCAAACAGGAUUAGAUACCCUAGUAGUC
rnacentral:rRNA from 1 species